rnacentral:rRNA from 1 species
CCCUUAGACGUUCUGGGCCGCACGCGCGCUACACUGACCAGUGCAACAAGCAUCCGUCCUUGGCCGACAGGCCCGGGCAAUCUUUGAACGCUGGUCGUGAUGGGGAUAGACUUUUGCAAUUUUUGGUCUUCAACGAGGAAUUCCUAGUAAACGCAAGUCAUCAACUUGCAUUGAUUACGUCCCUGCCCUUUGUACACACCGCCCGUCGCACCUACCGAUUGAGUGGUCCGGUGAGGCUUUGGGAUCUGAGCGGAAAGAGCGUUUCGCUGUUUCUGCUCGGAAAACUCAGUCGAACCUUAUCAUUUAGAGGAAGGAGAAGUCGUAACA